UUUCCAUUAAUUAACAUUAUGACACUUUUCCUUUUACUUUCCAUUUCUUCCAAAACCUUGAUUGCUACCAUUUGAGGUGUGAUGAGAAGAGACGAGAAACAAGAAAGUAACACCAUAACCUUCACCGUGGCAGUUUGCGUUCGCUGUUCACCGUCGCUGCGUCGCAGUUCGCGUUCGCUGUUCACCGGUGCGGUUCGCCCUCGCCUUUCACUGUUCGUCGUCCCCCGCAUCGUCUUUUAUCUUCCCCUCUUUUAUGUGUGCGAACCCUACUUUCCCAUUUGGCGACUUUUUCCUUCUCUUCCAACUCCACUGAACACUGAUAGUGAUGUCGAUAGCUGAAGCCGGAAUUGAGCGAGCUAAGUAUGCAGUUGACGGGUUUCUAAGCACAGUUGGUAGGUUGCAAGCUGAACAACAUAAACAGGUACUUCUCAUCGGAUCCCUUCAGAAUACUAAUGAUGGGAUGGAAGGCACUAAUGAAAUUAUAGUCUUUAAGUUCCUGACAAAACCGAAUUCAGUAAAACAAGACUUGCUAAUGUUGUGAAGAGCCCGAAAAAAUUAGGUUCCAAGGAUCCAAGGUAUGUUCUUAUACUAUCUUGUAUUAUCUUGUGAUUUAUUGAUUUCAAGAAACAAAUUCAUCAACAAUCUUCAAUCUCUUGAUUCAAAAUUUGAGCCAUGCAUUAUUUUUGAUAAAUAGCCUUCCGUUGAACUCAUGGUGUUGAAGCAUUAAUCUUAAUUAGCUGGUACCAAUAGCUAUUUAGACUUCAAUAAUAUGUUUAAAAUAGACAUAAAUUUAAUUCCUCAAUACAUAUAUGAUUUUAACCCUUACUUUAAAGAAUUCUUUUUUGCAGAAAAUUUAAGUCCUAUAACUUGGUCCAUGCAAAAUUCAAUAGAAUGAACAAUUUAGCCACUAAGAGAAUUUAACUGUUUCUUUUGUUUUUCAUUCUUUGUUUAAAAGAACUAUUAAUGAAAAAAAUAAUUAAUUCUAUUGGCUAAUUUUUAAAUAAAUAUUUAUUUUAGAAUCAAAUCCAAAUAUAUUUAGAAUAGAAAAAGUAUUCCUAAAGGUGUUGUCUGUGUCAUGAUUGAUGAGUGUAAAGUCCACUGAAUUAUGCAAAUUAAAGUCUUGAAUGAAGGUGCCUGAAUUUGAAGUCUACAGCAAGAGACACUUGUUACUAAUCUAUGGUCAAGUGAAGUCAACACCCAACAGUUGCACACCUCAUUAUCGAUUCCCACUUUAUUUGUUUGCUUAACAUGAUCGAGACAUGAUUUCUAAAUAUGUUUCAUUUGAUAUAGUCUUGCUAGAUAAAUUGUUUCGAUUGUAGAUAUCCCCCCUCCUCUUCCUUUCCCAACUUAGCUCUAACAGUUAUUUCUUCACUUUUCACUGGAGAAGACUACUCUUGUGUAUAGUUAAGUUCUUCUUUUGCAACCUCACAGUUUUUCAAAUUAAUUAUAAUAAAAUGAACUGGCAAGUGAGCCGAAACAAUGCACAUCAGGCAGAACAAGUUGAAAGGUAGCUCAGACUUUAUUUCAAUUAUUGUUCUAAUUAAUAAUGAUGAUAGAUAUCUAUCACUGCUUCUGUAAGAUAUAUAUCAAGAUUGCAGCAGUGAAUUAUUAUUGUAAGGUUCUUGCAGCAUGCUUUUCUUUUCAUGUUCUUCUUAACUAAUGGAUUUCUAGCAUGGUUUAAUUUCAUCUUCAUUAGCUUUUGCCCUCAAUUUUCAAGCAAUUGAGAAAGUACAGCAUAACUAUGCUGAAAUCACCCAAACUGAAAGAGAGACAUGUAAUCAAGUAUAUGCUUGAAAUGUGUCUUGUUUUCUGCUAUGUAUCUGUGUAUGUUAAUUGAUGCUUAAGAUAGAUAUAUAAAAAUGUGGAAUGGUAGUAGUAGUAGUAGCUUUGUCUCCGGGCCCCAAGGAAUGUUUAGCUUAUUUCACGUGGACAAGAAAGCUACUGAAGCCAUCAUCAGUAUCCUAACAUAUAUACAUUCAUCAGAUGUGAAAUUCUUUCUUUUCCUAAUCUUUCUUUUUCUAAUCUUUCUUUUCUACCACUAGCUAUAUAGCUAAUAGCUUCUAUAUAGCUGCUGAGUGCUGACUCUCUCUCUCUUUCUCACCCUCUCUUCUUCCAAGUCCUUUCACCUUUAUUUGCUUGUUCACCUUUAAGAAAUAACUGUUUUCUUUUUUUACUUAUUUGUUUGAUAAGAACAUCCAUGGAUCAAAGAAGUGAGAAGCAAUGUAGGUUGGCCAAUUAAUAUAUUCACAAGGAUUGAAAGGGAAGGUUAUAAAUCAAUACAGAAACCUUUUUGUGGAGGCCCGUGGCAAGGGUUCUGCCAUAAAGGAUCUUAAUAGUCAGAGGAACUUGUUCUGAGAUAUUUUAGAAUUUUUUCAUAGGUAUUUUUCAGAGAGGAAGAACCACUGAAGUUGAAGCAAAAUUUGAGAAGCUCUUGAGAAGAGUAAAUGUGAAAUCUGAAAAGGUUGACAUGUCAAAGAGGUAUUAUUAUUUGGUCUUCAUUGAUUAUUACUAUUUAGUGGAGUGGAAGCUGGAGACUAAGUCAAACUUUAAAUCUAUUCAAUUUAACCAAAAAAAUUGUAACGUUAAAUUGUUCUAAGGACUUGCUACAAAAUUGUAUUCAAAGGGGUUGAUUAAAAAUGAUCAAAGUAUUGCUCGGAAAGAUAGUAAGAAAGCAACUCUAGUUCUCUGUCAAAAGUUGAAGAGCUACUGGAUCUAUGUUCAAGGUAUGGGUUUUGGUGUUCUGAGUGUAUUUUUAUCAACGAGGUCCGAACACGGGUUGGCAAGGAUGCAGCGUCACUCCGUUGCCACUGUGCAAUCUUGAUUCUGAGUAAUAUAUGUGAUAAAAAUUAAAUAUAUAAUAAACCAUUAAUGAAUUUUUAUUUUCUUUUUUAUCCUUUUAAUCAUGAAUUGAAAUGAAUACCAAACAUAACAAGUAAAAACACAUAAUAUAUAAACAUAUUGAUAUUGAUUGUGUUA